UACGGGGGGUGCGAGCGUUGUCCGGAAUCACUGGGCGUAAAGGGCGCGUAGGUGGUUUGAUAAGGGUGUGGUGAAAGCCCGGAGCUCAACUCCGGGUCUGCCGUGCCGACUGUCAAACUCGAGGGCUGUAGAGGCAGACGGAAUUCCGGGUGUAGCGGUGGAAUGCGUAGAGAUCCGGAGGAAGACCGGUGGCGAAGGCGGUCUGCUGGGCAGUUUCUGACACUGAUGCGCGACAGCGUGGGGAGCAAGCAGG
rnacentral:rRNA from 1 species